rnacentral:rRNA from 1 species
CCUACGGGAGGCAGCAGUGAGGAAUAUUGGUCAAUGGACGCAAGUCUGAACCAGCCAUGCCGCGUGCAGGAAGACGGCUCUAUGAGUUGUAAACUGCUUUUGUACGAGGGUAAACGCAGAUACGCGUAUCUGUCUGAAAGUAUCGUACGAAUAAGGAUCGGCUAACUCCGUGCCAGCAGCCGCGGUAAUACGGAGGAUUCAAGCGUUAUCCGGAUUUAUUGGGUUUAAAGGGUGCGUAGGCGGUCGGCUAAGUUAGAGGUGAAAUCCCGAGGCUCAACUUCGGAAUUGCCUCUGAUACUGUUCGGCUGGAGAGUAGUUGCGGUAGGCGGAAUGUAUGGUGUAGCGGUGAAAUGCUUAGAGAUCAUACAGAACACCGAUUGCGAAGGCAGCUUACCAAGCUACUUCUGACGUUGAGGCACGAAAGCGUGGGGAGCAAACAGGAUUAGAUACCCUGGUAGUC